GUGUACGGUGUGGCGACGGGUCGCCACGCUAUACUGAGUAGAGUGUACGGUGUGGCUUCUCACUCAGUUCGACGUUGUUGUUUACUACGGUACACAUAACCUGCGUUUUAUUUAAUUUUGAUGUGAAACAUUUUUAUUUUAAUUUUUGACAAUAAAAUAUGUGUGAUAGUGAUAACUCAGAAGAUCAAAGUGAUCAACCUUGUGCAAAGAAAGUGAAACUACACUAUGGCAUACUACCAAGUCAUCAUUCCCAACAAUCAUCACAGGAAUCACAAAAUAUUAUUAUUGAAACUGGAUACCACCCUGAUCAGUUA